GAUGGGUUUAGAAGUUUGUAUAAGUGGAUGAGAGAGUGGAUAGUUGGGAUUGGGUUGAUAGGAGAUCAUGCCUUAAUUUGAGGGAUUUUGGUUUAUUUUUAUUUUUUUCUUUUCUCUCUUCCCAAGGAAAGAUUUUGACUUUAGUUUUUCCAUUCUUUCUGACGUUUCCUUCUUGUUCUCCUUCUCUACAUCUUUGAUUCUUUCUUUCAUUUUCUUUCCCCUUUAAAUCUGUUUACAUCUUUUUUUCUUCAUGUUGCACUCUAGAACUUGGUAUUUUU
rnacentral:lncRNA from 1 species